UAAUUACAAAGUAUCACCAAUCUUUGGACAAAGUGGCAAUCAUCUCACAAACUAAUUUGUUGUCUUGUAAACAAAUUGAAGACCUGUUCAUGAUUUCUGUCAGUUGCACUAAGCGCGUCAUUUCAAUAUGAUAAACAAAAUACCUCACUUAAUUUAUCCAUUAAAUUGGACAGAAAUUGUCUAAUGGGACAAAGUUUUUUAAUUUCUUAAAUGUUGGGUUGAAAACUUUACAAAAAAUAGUCAGGACUACAUCAGUACUUUGAAGAAAGAUAGGGGACUAAAUUAGAAAAUUAUCCUUCAAUUUUGAGUUGGGUCAUUAAUAAUUUCUUCACAUAAAUUAAUGUUACUUUAUAUAAG
rnacentral:lncRNA from 1 species